rnacentral:ncRNA from 11 species
UCUUAGCUCAGUUGGUAGAGCAGCGGACUCUUAAUCCGUUGGUCGUAGGUUCGAAUCCUACAGGGCC